UUACUUUCCUUCAGGUUGUUGACUUAACUAUUAAGAAUUGUAGUUUAGGACUAAUGCACAAGGAGAAGAGUGUGCAUUUUUAACCAGGUUAAUCUGCAGUUCCUGUGACCAAGUGCGCACAAAACAAGGUUUAACAGUUGGGUUCCACCUGCUGGGGGCUCUUCAAGUGAUGGAACAGAAGACAAGAAGCCAGAAGGAAUAUGAAGGCCGACGCCGUCAGUCUCACUGUAUUCUGCACUGUGUAAUUUCUACCUGGAUUGGUGAGAAGUGUAAAUGUACAGUUACCAGCACAGUAUGAAUGGCACACACUGGGAUAAUUUUAUCAGGGGCGUUCCUUCUAUUAGAUUAGUUGAAAACAUUGCCUCGGGCAGUAUGUUACCAGGGUAGGCAAAAAGUCCCUUUCAAAGUGUAGGGACCCAUAGGGUUAAUAUGCCCCAUGGCUUUAAACCCUACCAUUUCCUUCUU